GGCUCUUGUGCAGAAUACUCGUUUAGUGCCAACAAAAUACAAGGGAGCUUGAAAGCAAAGUGUAAUGAUUCAUCUCCACCAUGUCCAAUUGUAUAUAAUUCAACACAAGCAUACAGAUACCAAGGAUGCUAUCACUUGUCGAAAAAGAAUCAAACUAAAGAAGCAAGAACAAAUGUUAGUGCAGACCUGAAAGCAUUAUUUAGUGUUAUUAUACUAUUUCUUAUGAUUACUGUAUACUGUUCCAAAAGCUUUGCUAAUUGAAUCCAAAUUUAUUUUUAAAAGAGAAAAAAGGUACGUCGCACAUCGUACGUGUAUCAA